UUUACGAUGUCUGAAUUGGCAGACGCGCUAGACUUAGGAUCUAGUGUCUUUAUGACGUGGGGGUUCAAGUCCCUUCACCCGCAUAGCCA
rnacentral:tRNA from 1 species